AUUGAACGCUGGCGGCAUGCCUUACACAUGCAAGUCGAACGGCAGCACGGGAGCUUGCUCCUGGUGGCGAGUGGCGAACGGGUGAGUAAUACAUCGGAACGUACCCAGGAGUGGGGGAUAACGCACCGAAAGGUGCGCUAAUACCGAAUACGACCGAAGGGUGAAAGCGGGGGACCGUAAGGCCUAGCGCUAUUGGGGCGGCCGAUGCCUGAUUAGCUAGUUGGCGGGGUAAAGGCCCACCAAGGCGACGAUCAGUAGCUGGUCUGAGAGGUCGAUCAGCCACACUGGGACUGAGACACGGCCCAGACUCCUACGGGAGGCAGCAGUGGGGAAUUUUGGACAAUGGGGGCAACCCUGAUCCAGCAAUGCCGCGUGUGCGAAGAAGGCCUUCGGGUUGUAAAGCACUUUUGUCAGGGAAGAAAUCUUUUGGGCUAAUACCCCGGAAGGAUGACGGUACCUGAAGAAUAAGCACCGGCUAACUACGUGCCAGCCGCCGCAGUAA
rnacentral:rRNA from 1 species